GAAACGGUCGGGUACACGCAUGAGGUACUCUUUCCGGUUAGGAUCAAGGUUCGCGACCCAAACGUCGCGACGCACAUCCGCCUCAAGCUGGCUGUUUACGCCUGUAGCACCAUCUGCGUCCGCGACGAGCGAGUACUCGACGCCACGAUCCANGCGGUCCAUCCCAGGCCGCCAUCGACGCAUGGCGUUUGAAGGUUCCGGGGGCCGCGUCCGACGUGCUGUCUGUUCUCUCCAUCGAACGUUCCUCUACGGGGCCCGCGGCGCUGCGGGGCGGGGGGGGCCCACGGAAACCCCCUCCCCCCCCCCCCCCCCUUUUUCCG
rnacentral:misc_RNA from 1 species